AACGAACGCUGGCGGCAUGCCUAACACAUGCAAGUAUAACUAGACCUUCGGGUCUAGUGGCGCACGGGUGCGUAACGCGUGGGAAUCUGCACUGGGGUUCGGAAUAACUACGGGAAACUGAAGCUAAUACCGGUUGAUGUCUUCGGACCAAAGAUUUAUCGCCCAGGGAUGAGCCCGCGUAGGAUUAGCUGGUCGGUGAGGUAAAGGCUCACGAAGGCGACGAUCCUUAGCUGGUCUGAGAGGAUGAACAGCCACACUGGAACUGAGAUACGGCCCAGACGCCUACGUGAGGCAGCAGUGGGGAAUAUUGGACAAUGGGCGAAAGUCUGAUCCAUCAAUGCCGCGUGAGUGAUGAAUGCCCUAUGGUUGUAAAGCUCUGUUACCCUGGAUGAUAAUGACAGUACCGUGAGAAUAAGCCCCGGCUAACUCCGUGCCAGCAGCCGCAGUAAGAC
rnacentral:rRNA from 1 species